rnacentral:rRNA from 1 species
UACGAAGGGGGCUAGCGUUGCUCGGAAUCACUGGGCGUAAAGCGCACGUAGGCGGCUUACUAAGUCAGGGGUGAAAUCCUGGAGCUCAACUCCAGAACUGCCUUUGAUACUGGUAGCUCGAGUCCGGGAGAGGUGAGUGGAACUGCGAGUGUAGAGGUGAAAUUCGUAGAUAUUCGCAAGAACACCAGUGGCGAAGGCGGCUCACUGGCCCGGUACUGACGCUGAGGUGCGAAAGCGUGGGGAGCGAACAGG